ensembl:lncRNA
CGCCCCUCGCCUCGCAGCCAAUCCGAAGGCGGAAAGGCGGGAGGGGGCGGGGAGAGGGGCGGGGCCAAGCUGCCGGGCCUCGGCCGUGCGGCAUUGUGCGGAGCGCCCCGCCCCCGGCAGCACCGCCCGCCCCGCGCUCCCGGGUGGCUUCAUUAUCCUGCGUUACACCUCUGCUGUGUGUGGGGGGCUUUGUAUUUUUUUAAUAUCUUUAUGUUUUCAUGCUUUAUAUAUUUACAGGUAUCUCUUUUUGUAUCAAUACGGAAUUAUAUCUUUAGCCGUUUUUUUAUUUUUUAUCUUCGGCGUUUUUGUAUUUUAGUUUCUUAUAUCUUCACGGCUUAUAUUUCUAUAUCUCAACGCUUCCACGUUUUCUACGAUAACAUUUUACAUUGCCGUAUAUUUUCGACGUUAUUUACUCUCAUACAUACCCAUACAUCUACGCCGCGCCGUUUCCCUCGGGGCAAACCCCUUUGGGAUCGGCUCUGUGCGAUCGCCGCCGUUCGCCGAGCUCCGAGGGCACCCUCCGAGCACGACCCGCAGCACCGCGGCACCCACCUCCCAACGGGGAGCUCGAUAAAGGGCCGCAAGAAGAUAAGGGAACGCCUGAGCGCUGCUCGCGGCUCACAGACCCCGCGGUGCCCGCACCGCCCGCUGACAUCCAGCAGCACCGCGCUGCCCGAGGCGCUCCCCGCGGGUAGGGCCGGGCCGGGCCGGGCUGCAGCGCUCGCCGCUCCCCCUGGUGCCGUCAGAGAGGGUUGCAAGCGCUGAGCGCAGCCCAGGGCCCGAAAUGCAGCACCCCGACACCCAGCGGUGCCCCGCGCCGCGUUCCGGACGGGGACAGCCCCUUGCUCCGGCGUUCGGUCCCCAACCAGAAAGCGAGAACGCUGCAUCCGAGCGGGUGGGUCCUCGGCGCCGAGCUCCGAGCUCAGCUUGGGGGGUGUCAGCUUCCCCGCGGGGUUGUUCCUAUUCCAUCGCAUCAGCAAGAUUUCCUUCCCCAGUGGAAAGGUUCCAGGAGCGAUUUAACAGCCGGCGUUCUCUGACCUAUUUGCAAGCCCCAAGCCUCUCCCCGCCACCCACCGCUGGGAAGCUUUGAUAAUUCAAUGAGAUGUUAAUUCUGAUACCCGCUAGAACUCAUGAUACAAAAACUUUUUCUUUUUUUAAUUAUCAUUAAUUGCAACGCAGGAGGAAUGAGACUUCGCCACUGACUCCAUUGCCAAAGCAGCAUUGUGCUGCACAGCUCCCAUUAGGCCCAAGUGCUGCCCGAGCAGGCAGCUCCCCAAAAUGCACACAGCCACUGCGGGGACCAGCAGGACCCGUCCUGCCCUCCCUGCUGCCACCAGAGCCCCACGCUGACCAUUGGGACAGCAGCGUGUCCCUUAGGCCGCCCUUCCUGGGCGAACCGUUUCAUUAUUCUGCAUUUCAUUUCAUUAUUCUGCACGUGCACUGGCCAUUUUUUAAAAUCAUCCGACAACCUGAAGAGCGAUGAUGGAUGGGACGGGAGAUUCCCAAGAGCCUUUGGCAGGAGCGCGUCACUGACACUCAGCUCGGACACUGAUCCCAACCAGGAACCAGCUGAAAACAGAAGCCAAAGCAGCAGCUUUAUGGCCAGAGCCAGCACGGCGCAGUACGUAACAGCAUGGGUGCUGGGAAGAAAAUCAUUCUAAAAAAUAUUUCUGUUCUCAUGACCGAGCCUAAUGCGAGCAAUGAGAGAACGACGCAGCGCGUAGCUUUAUCUCUGUGUGCUUCAGAAACCAAACACCUGCGUUGUUCUGUCCCACAGCUGGCGCCUCUCUCGUCACUUCCCAGCUAACGGGGCUGCAAAGUCCCAACCCGGGCACCAGCAGAGCCAGCACAGCUCCGUGCUCACGUGAAAUAAAUGCAGUGAGCAGGCAGGGGGUGCUGGUGCC